rnacentral:misc_RNA from 1 species
CAUUACGCACCCACGGUGCGCUUUCGCGGCUGGUCCGUUUCGACCGCCGUUGGUCGAACGUCCUCCUGCUCCGGACGCGACGUUCGAACAAGCGCUGUGCCGCCAAGGAUACGACAAAUGGUACGAGUAGUUGCCGCAGCAUGAAAGUGCCGCUGGUGUCUUAUCUGUCGGCAAGGAGAGGAGCUUGAUCGGCGGGACGCCGCUUCCAUGUCCUUCCGAGCAUGCUGCAAGCCACGUGCGCGCGGCAAAAGCUUCCGUAGAGGCUCCGCCGAACGUUCGCUCGUUCGAUGGCAUCGUAUCGAGCGCGCGGACGCGGCAAACGUUGAUCAUUGCUGUGCUGCCAGGCUGGUUUCGGGUCUGGCUGCUCGACGGAGCCGAUCACGGUUCUGCUGCUCACAAACGUUGUUGACCUCAGAUCACAGAGACUAC